rnacentral:lncRNA from 1 species
GAAAUUUAUGAAAAUCAAAAGGGUAUUAACAUCAACAGAUAUAAACAAUUUAUCAAAGUUGUAUGAAAAUUGAUGAAAGCGAUAUUGAGUUAUAGUUGUCCGAAAACUGGAAAAUCCCCCUUUUUUAAUGGAUAAAACCCUAUAACUCGGAAACGUAAAAUCAAAAUUUAUAAAAAAAAAAAAGAAGAAAGGGAGCUCACGUCAAUAGAUAUAAACAAUUUCUUUAAAGUUUUAUGCCAAUUGGUUAAAGCGUUUUUGAGUUAAUGUCCGACAUGUUGACGAUGGACGGACGGACAGAUGUAUACCAUAAUACGUCCCGUAACCGGGCGUAUAAUAAUUCAACACGUACUAUACAUUUGGCUUUACCAGUCUCCAACAAGAGAAAUAUUUAACACACACACACGCACGCACACACACACACACACACACAUGUAUUUAUGUAGAGAUAAAUACAUGUCUCACAGAGUACUGCUAAACUAACUGGCAAACACAUUAAUGGUCAGUCUGGUGAAAGAAUAUUCCACUCAUA